AGAUACGGAGGUAGAGCACUGAAUGUCCUAGGGGGUAUUGCACCUACCGAAGACUAUCAAACUCCGAAUGCCGUCAUCUUAUACUUGGGAGUCAGACUGUGGGUGAUAAGAUUCAUAGUCGAAAGGGCAACAGCCCAGAUCGUCAGCUAAGGUCCCUAAAUGUAAGUUAAGGGGUAAAGGAUGUGGGAUUGCACAGACAACCAGGAUGUUGGCUUAGAAGCAGCCACUCAUUCAAAGAGUGCGUAAUAGCUCACUGGUCGAGUGAUCCUGCGCCGAAGAUUUCCGGGGCUAAAACUUAC
rnacentral:rRNA from 1 species